GAGAUUGAAGUCAUCAUUAACUUUUUUUUACGUAAUCAUAGACAUUUCAUAAUUUCAUUCAUAUGUACUAUACUAUUUAUUUUAUUCCAUUCUAUUUGGGUUUAUGGUUUAUUUUUGGAUUUAGGGUAUAGUGAUUAUGGUUUAGGGUUAAUGAUUAUGGUGUAGGGUUAAAUAUGUGCGGGUCGGGUGGGUUGGAAUAAAAUUUAGUUUUAGGAAUUGGGAUGAGGUUGGUUUAGGGUUUAUAGUUGGGUUUAAGGUUUAGUGAUUAGGGUUUAGGGUUUAGGAUUUAGUAUUUAGAAAAUGAGAGGGUUGGGUCAGCAUUAACUUCUUCCACUCAAUCAUACACAUUUCGUAAUUGUACCAAUAUGUACUAUGUUAUUCAUUUUAUUCUAUUCAAAUUGGUUUAGAAUUUAUAUUGGGGUUUAUGGUUUAUAUUUGAGUUUAGAGUUUAUAUUUAAAUUUAGAGUUUA
rnacentral:lncRNA from 1 species